rnacentral:lncRNA from 1 species
CAUGGAAGUCUGUGGAUCUGUUAUUCUGUUCUCUGGGUCUAAAUCUUCCUGUCUCUGCUUGCUCACUAGGGAGUCACAAUAUGGACAGCUUUUUUAGCAGAAGACCUUGAGCUGACUCUGAACAUCUCUUAAAAACACCAGAGGUUGUGCAGGAGUUGAUUAAAGAUAUUUGAAAGCAAUUAUGGUGAACUUUUCAACAGUAUCUGUCUCCAGUGCAAUUCCUUUGAACUUCACGAUUGGAUUUUGCUCCUUUUUCUUUGCAGAAAUGGAACUGAAACACAUCAGUUACCUUAUGGUAGCACCAAUCUCUACUGGUGGAGUCUACAGGCUGCAGGCAAACCUUGAAGAAGGUCUCCUAGAGCAGCAUGAAAGAUUUUUGAGAAAAUCUGCAUGCCACAGACUUCUAGAAUGCAAGCACAGGAUAAUCCUUCUUCAGAAUUAG